rnacentral:rRNA from 1 species
AACGAACGCUGGCGGCGCGCCUAACAUAUGCAAGUCGAACGAGAAGCCGUAGCAAUACGGUUGUAAAGUGGCAAACGGGUGAGCAAUACAUGGGUAACCUACCCUCAGGUGGGGAAUAACCUCCCGAAGGGAAGCUAAUGCCGACGAUACCCACCGGCCUCAUAAGAGGUUGUUGGAAAGCCGAACCGAGGGUUCGGCGCCUAAGGAUGGGCUCAUGUCCUAUCAGCUUGUUGGCGGGGUAAUGGCCCACCAAGGCUGCGACGGGUAGCUGGUCUGAGAGGACGACCAGCCACACUGGCACUGCGACACGGGCCAGACUCCUACGGGAGGCAGCAGUGGGGAAUAUUGCGCAAUGGGGGAAACCCUGACGCAGCGACGCCGCGUGUGGGAUGAAGGUCUUCGGAUUGUAAACCACUGUCGCGAGGGACGAAGCUCUGACGGUACCUCGAAAGGAAGCACCGGCUAACUCUGUGCCAG